UGGGCGAUCCAUGGAGGCCAUGUGGAUCGAUCACGCGGUCCACACAUGGUCCAUGGGUGAUUUUGCAUGAUUCGAUGGCUCUGGAGCAAGCCAUUCGCAAUCAGAUGGCUGAGGAUGACUCUGCACAUGAUCAGGCAUGAUCUGAGGCUAUAAUGCAUGAUCGGACGGCUUUGGUGUGAGCCGAUCAUGAUCGGAUGGCCACGAAUGGUUCUAGGGUUGAUUGGA
rnacentral:lncRNA from 1 species